GACUCAAAAGAUAGGUUCUUUGUCGAGCCUGAGCCAAAGUAGCGGCGGUUUAGGCAGUUUAAGCGGCGGUAGCAGUGGUACCGGUGGGAGCUCCGGAAGCGAUUCUCAUAGCGGAAGUAAUGGCGGUACGAGCGCUGGCGCUGGGAUCAAUCUCGGAGCCUUUGCCAAUCUAGCAGGGCUGGGCUGAUAAUUGGCAGAACCUCCUUUCUCUCUUCAGAAACCCUUUUAUAAAAUAUUCGUAUUUAAAGAAUCCAAAUGAAAAAUUAAGGAAAAAGAGAGAAACAAAAUUCUCCAGGAAACUCUUCUCCUGAUGAAUCAACAUUUCCGGCCGAAUCGUGUGGAUUGCACUAUGUCUAAUAUAAAUUAUAGAAGAACUAGCGGCGUCAAUCGAUUUGCCACCAUGAAAGUUGUAAAUAAUUUAAGAGUAGCCUUUAAGGGUGCGAUAAACUCGUAUUCGAGGACUAUUAGCUAUGUGUAAGCGAUGUAAAUAGUACAUUCAAAUGCUCCUUGAUACGUAAAGCAAAAUGAAUACAAAAGAUAGUGAUGAUGGUGUGAUAUAAUGUUGAUGUCAAAUAAAACGUACAAUUAUAUUUUUGUCUACUA
rnacentral:misc_RNA from 1 species